rnacentral:lncRNA from 1 species
CAAUCAGAUACAAAAAGACUACAAAUUGUUUAAAUAGGUACUACAAAGUAUUAUUUUGUUUCAACCUAAACAAAUCUAUUCAAAUAAAUAAACCAUAAAAAAUGUUAUGCUAUGAUGUUAAAUGUUUGCCCGUAUUUACAAUGAAUAUUUCAAAAAUGUAAUGAAAACGACAUGUAGUUUUCAUAGUAAAUUUCUUAUUUUUGCGAAAAAAUACUUAUGAAAUACUUAUAAAUGGUUUCUGAAUUUUUUAACAAUACCAUACUUUGGCUUUUAACAGCAUGAUACAGAAAUAGAAAGUCAAUUAGAAAAUUUACAUGUUAAGUUUGUGAUUCUAUAUAAAGUAAUUCAAAUGUUAAAGAUGAAGUAAGAAGUAAUAAUAGUAGAUGACCUUUCUUUAAAGAAAACUACUUUUCAUUUCUUUUAACCACUAUUGACUAACAACUUUGGUCCUCAUCAAAUUUUUUUUAUAUAAAUUUCUUUAAUGAGGAUAGCCAAAAUAUAAAAAUCGAAAAUUCAAAGAAUCUACAAAUUUUAAACAUGUCAAUGAUAAUGUGUUCACAUACUGAUUUCAGCCUUACUUCACUCCCUAUCAGUUUCAAAAAGAGAAGUCACUUCUCCCUAUAAUUCUGAAGUAGUGUGAGCCCUGACGUAAAAUUCUUACAAAUUUAUGACCGUCUUAAGAAAAAAAUCACCUUUUAUAAAUCAAAUAACAAAACAUGACACUGAAAACAGACAUAAUCAUAAAAGAACAGUACUUUUGGGCUUCUUCAUAAGCAACAUUGACAAUAUACCAAGCACUAUUUGUUCUGAGUUAUCACAUUUAUGAGAUUUAAAUAUCUUUAUAAUUUCAAUUAUCAUUUCUAUAUAUAAAUCAGUUUUGACAUUUUCAUAGUAUCAAUUCUAUAGUAUUAAAAACAGUUAUUGGUUUCAAUUUCUUAUAUUUUCUAAAAAAAAAUAUCAAACAAGACCAAAAAAAACAACAAAUAAACAUGCUAAUUUAAUUAAAAUAAAAAUGCUGAGCAAAAAUAAUAAAAUAAAGUUUAAUUACUAUUUACCCAGUAUACCAUGUUCAUCACAAAUCAUUCUUUUAUAAACUAUUGUUUUGAAUAACAAAAUUAAUUAUCCUUAAUUUUUGAAACACAUGAUAAUAUACCAGUACAGUGAUUAUUCUGUGAUUUUCUUUUUUCAAACAAUUUACUAAAGAAUUUCUUUAAAAAAAUGAGUUAUCUCUCUUUGUAUAGAAAUAUGGUUUAACAUAGUACUCUAUAGCUGCGGAACCGUAGCUCUUAGGUCCUUAUGUUAUUUUUUGACCAUUUGCGGACCAUAGAGCUACGGAUUUUUCCUAUUUCAAAAUGUUUGGAAUGUUUGGACCCAGGUUCAGGUCGCACUUAUUUCACAAAAAUUUAUUGUUUAUAAUCCGUGCAAUAUAUGUAGAUUCAAUUUUGGCCGAACAAAAUAGGCGGAGAAUGUAUACAAAUGGAAAUAAUUAGAUAAUAGUGUUAAGGAAAUGAAUAUUCAAACAUAAAUAGGUACGUCAUAUCCUAGAAAAAUAUCUAACAAAACGAACUAUAUAUAUUGACAAGUUUUUCACAGAUUAUAAACAAUAAAUUUUUGGGAAAUGAGUGCGACCUGAACCUGAACCUGGGUCGCAAUUCCGAACGUUUUGAAAUAGGAAAAAUCCGUAGCUCUAUGGACCACAAAUAGUCAAAAUAUCAUAAGGACCUAAGGUUCCGCAGCUAAAUACUCUAACAUUAGAUAUGGAUUUUUUUAAUGGACCAUAACUUUGGACUAAAUCAUCAGAAUGGAACAAAAUUCGAACUUGAUCUAUAACUUGUCAUUGAUAAAACCAUAUAACAAAUAUUAAAUCAAUAUCUUUAAGAACGAACAAAAAAAGUGUGGAAAGCUGAUUUGCCAGACUGACGGAUGGACAGACAGACAGACGGACAGACAGAGUGCAAACCUAAAGUCCCUGUUCGACUUCAUUGGUAGGGGACUAAUAAAAAUAUGUCAUAAAUUAUUUUGAAAACUUUCAAUUUUGCUAUUUCAUAUAAUGCAAAUGCUUAUAUACAACAUUUGUAACACAGUUACACAGUCAUACUUUGAAAACCUGAAGUCUAAAUCAUAAAUAAAUCAUUCUUAAGGGAAAUAAACAAAAUCAUAAUUUAACAACUAUAAAUAGAAACAAAUCAUAUACACACAUUUGUACAAUAAUCAAUAUAAAAAAUAUUCCAGUAAAAAAGCAUAUAAAUCAUAAAGAGAUCAAAGAUUAGGGAAAUAAUGCCUUAUCCCUGACCAUACACACAGUUAUAGAGGAAUAAUGUCAUGUAUUAGUCAAUUAUUUCUUACUAAUAAUAUAUUAAAGGUGAUAAAUCCUGACAAUAAUUUGUAACACAAUUUUCUUUUGGAAAUGUAUAUGGUCAGCUUUUAGCAUUUAUUUUUUAUGACUGUUGUACUUAAGUGUACACAGAUGACUACUAUCUAAUCAAGUCAUGAAGUUCUUAUAAAAGAAAUUGUAAGUCUAAAAAUAAGCAGAAAUAAAGCCAAUAUCAAUGUCAAGUGAUAUGAAAGUUUUUAUAUAGCAAAGGAUUAAGUCGCAGAAUAGAAAGAAUAAAAGCAUCUUUCUACAGAUUUCAUACGUAAUUAUAAGCCUGGUAUCAUUUAUAAGUUUUGAUACUAAAAUUUAAAAAAUCUGCCAUAAUGAUUCUAAAAAAUCUUUUGAAAUUCAAUUUUGUUGCCUUUGUUUACCUAAGUAUCUAAAAUAAAAAUAUACACUUAAAAAAGUUGCUUUUCAGAUAUUUUUAUUAUUUAAAUACCAAAUUGGUUCAGGAAGCCAAUUUAUAUUUGGUUAGACUGCGUAUUAUAAAAGUAGGAUAAAGUGAUCUUUUCACACAUAAAUUUGUAAUUUCCUGGCUUUGCUGAUCUUUCCUUUAAGUAAAUAUGAAUGGAAAACUGAAAAUAUAUGCAUUUUUCAUUUAUCGGAGGGUCUCAAAACUUUAAUUUUUGGGGCAAAAAGGGCCAUUUGUCUUCAUAUAUUUUUUUACAACUUUAGGUGGUUUACCAAAAAAUGUCAAUAGAAAAAAACUAGUAACCCAUUGCCGCAGGGCGCAGCUUUAUACGACCGCAGAGGUCGAACCCUGAACAGUUGGGGCAAGUAUGGACACAACAUUUAAGCUUGAUACAGCUCUGAAUUUGGGUUGUGAUUAAAUAGUUGACAAAACUGUGCAAUAUUGUGCAAUUAGAUAUUUCUUGCUAUUGCGCAAUACUAUGCAAUUGAAUAUUUCUUGCUAUUGCACAAUACUGUGCAAUUGAAGAUUCUUGCUAUUGCAUACUGUGCAAUUGAAUAUAUGCGGAAUACUGUGCAAUUGAAAAUUUCUUGCUUUGCACAAUACUUAAUAUAAUAAUUUUGGACCAUCUUGAAAACUGGGCCCAUAAUCAAAAAUCUAAGUACAUGUUUAGAUUCAGCAUAUCAAAGAACCCCAAGAAUUCAAUUUUUGUUAAAAUCAAGCUAAGUUGAAUUUUGGACCCUUUGGACCUUCAUGUAGACCAAUUUGAAAAUAGGACCAAAAAUUAAGAAUUUGAAUACACGGUUAGAUUUGACAUAUCAAAGAACCCCAAUAAUUCAUGUUUUGAUGAAAUCAAACAAA